rnacentral:snRNA from 1 species
CCAAACGAAGUUAGGGAAAACUAA